GUGGAAGCGCGGGUGUGUGGACUGGAUUCAGUGUGCCAGUGCCAGAUUAAUAUGCUAGAGCCCCGCCUCAGACAAGAUGCGCGCUGUGCUAUUGGCCCUGACUAGAGGCGCGCAGAGAUGAUGUAAGCGCUCAUUUGGUAGUUCUUCAACUUCGUUGCUUUGGAGGAAUGGUUGGACCCCAUUGCGAAGAGCUGUUGAAAAGGUCGUUAAGACUACAGUUCAUUCAGAAGAAAGAAAUAGAGCUAAAUUAAUCGAGAAAAUGCCUCCUCCUGAUACUGUUGUACAGAACUACCGUAGUCUACCGAUCUACAGCAGACCUGCGGAAAUUACUGACCGUAGUAAUAGAGAGUUCCUUACCCACCUGGCCUUAGUUGAAAGCAGGUGUUGUGUGACCACAUGGAAGAGAUCGAGGCCUGUUUAAAAGAAGCACAGAAGGAUUUCCUUGCUGCUGUACUUUACCUGCAAGAUAGGAUGCUUUGGGUUACUGAGAGGAUAUGAAACAACCUCAGUUUGCCUUGGCCACGUGGACCAUGCCAACCUACCUCUGCAGGAGCCUGCCCUCUGCUCAUAACAUUUUGCCAGCUCAUUCUUACUAGCUUCUGAUACCCUGCCUUUGCUUUGCAAACUUAUCAGUAUUUCUCGGCUUCCUCAAAACCAAGUCAGCCUGAGUUAUAGUUGAGAAAACACGGGGAUGUUUCGUAAGUGGCAAGAAUUGAACCCAAGGCCUUGUGCACGAUAAGCAAGCACUUUAUCACUGAAUUCAUUCCCCAGCCCACUGCUGCAACAAAUUUAAUGGCAAAAUGGAAAUUUAGGUGGUGUCACUAGACCUGGAGGCGGGGCUGCGUUCGCCCUGUGCUCUUUCUGGGUUUGGGGCAGGUGCAGCUUGCCCCGUGCUGGACUGGGGCCUGUGGGAGUUGAGCCUGGUCUCGCCUGCUUACCCCUAGCUUCUGGCUGGCUUAAGGCAGCGUAUUUUCCUGUCCCGAACUUGGCAACCUACAUGGCGCUUUCUGCGGGGGUGGUUCCAGGUCUGUAUCUGCCAGGAGAACCGCUCCCAGAGAGGUCAAGCUCUGCCGUGUAGCACAGGGCAGAAUGGCGAGCCCCCUCAUUGUGUCCCUGUCCUCUUCCCAAGGAGGCUUUUGUCAUGUGGCCGCCGUGUAUUUUGUUUGUUCAGCGCAGAAUGUGCCAGGGAGCCAUACUGGCCAGGGCAGGCUUUGGGCCGAGGCGGAUGCACACCUCUGUCCCCACACGCGGUGCCACAGUAACAGCGCCUGCGCCUUUCAGCACCCUAGUGGGCACGUCACUUGACUCCAACUCUGCACGGCGCUGAGCUUUGUGGACGCUAAGGUUUUGAUUUCCAUUUCAGUUCAUAAAUUAUUUUGAAGUCUCAUUGUAUCCUGGAGAGCGGGUGAUGAGUGACGAAUGGAGAAGGUGGAUUUGCAGCAGGCUCAGUGUUCCAAGGGGCCCAAGGCUCCGUCCAGCUCGGUGACAGCAGUCACACCACAGGCCCUGGAGUUUCCUUAGAACUGUGACAUUGCAAGUGUACUGCUUUCCCUGAUGGAAGAAAGAGCCUUUUGGGGUUUUGUCUUAUUUUAUUUUCCCUUAACUUCCCCAAUCCUGGAAGCUGAGCAGGAGAGCAACAGCGGCUGGCGGGAUUCCACCCUAACCCUGGGGGAAUAAAAAGAAAUUACUGUCAAAUAUUAGGAAAUUAUAAAAUAUCUAUUAAGAUGUAUAAAGUUAUAUUGUUUAAAUCUAUUUUAUGAUAUAGAAAAAACAUUUCUAAAUUAAGAAAAAGGUCAGAAAAUGAAUUUUAUGGAUAUAUGUUGUAUUUACUUAGAUAAAUGAAUCAAAUACACAAAAGUAUAGUGGAUAUCACUGAGUGUUAUGGCUUGUGUUUUAAUAUCCCUCAAAACCUCGUGCAAUCACAGGUGGGGCUUUUUAUGGAAUUGAUUCAUGGUAAAAUGCUAGGCUAAGGGCACUAGGAUUAAGGGUGAGAGGCAGAAAGAAGAUGUUAAGGUCUCCUGUUGCUUUUUCUACCUCGUGGCCACGAUGAGCUGUUGUCCUUCUCUGAGAUGCCCCUCUGCCACCCUGCCUUGGCCAGCCAAUUAUGGACUGAAACCUCCAC